CUGCAAGUCGACGAGAAGCCCUUCGGGGUGAGUACAGCGGCGAACGGGUGAGUAACACGUGAGGAACCUGCCCCGAAGACCGGGAUAACACCGGGAAACCGGUGCUAAUACCGGAUGCCCUCAGAGAGUCGCAUGGCUCAUUGAGGAAAUGGAUUCCGCUUCGGGAGGGUCUCGCGGCCUAUCAGCUUGUUGGUGGGGUAACGGCCUACCAAGGCUCCGACGGGUAGCUGGUCUGAGAGGACGACCAGCCACACUGGGACUGAGACACGGCCCAGACUCCUACGGGAGGCAGCAGUGGGGAAUCUUGCGCAAUGGGCGAAAGCCUGACGCAGCAACGCCGCGUGGGGGACGAAGGCCUUCGGGUUGUAAACCCCUUUCAGCAGGGACGAAAAUGACGGUACCUGCAGAAGAAGCCCCGGCCAACUACGUGCCAGCAGCCGCGGUAAUACGUAGGGGGCGAGCGUUGUCCGGAUUUAUUGGGCGUAAAGAGCUCGUAGGCGGUUUGGCAAGUCGGGUGUGAAAACUCCGGGCUCAACUCGGAGACGCCACUCGAUACUGCCAUGACUCGAGUCCGGUAGGGGAGUGCGGAAUUCCUGGUGUAGCGUUGAAAUGCGCAGAUAUCAGGAGGAACACCGGUGGCGAAGGCGGCACUCUGGGCCGGUACUGACGCUGA
rnacentral:rRNA from 1 species